rnacentral:rRNA from 1 species
AGGACGAACGCUGGCGGCGUGCUUAACACAUGCAAGUCGAGCGGUAAGGCCUUUCGGGGUACACGAGCGGCGAACGGGUGAGUAACACGUGGGUGAUCUGCCCUGCACUCUGGGAUAAGCCUGGGAAACUGGGUCUAAUACCGGAUAUGACCUGCUCUCGCAUGGGGGGUGGGUGGAAAGAUUUAUCGGUGCAGGAUGGGCCCGCGGCCUAUCAGCUUGUUGGUGGGUAAUGGCCUACCAAGGCGACGACGGGUAGCCGACCUGAGAGGGUGACCGGCCACGACUGGGACUGAGACACGGCCCAGACUCCUACGGGAGCAGCAGUGGGAAUAUUGCACAAUGGGACGAAAGCCUGAUGCAGCGACGCGCGUGAGGAUGA